AUUGUAUGAUACAUGUGUGUGAACAGCCAUACUACAAGACAGUGAAACAUGGGCUGUGACUGUUGAAGACAUGUGUAGGCUUGUAAGAAAUGAAGCUAGUAUGCUUCACUGAAUGUGCAAUGUCAGGGUGCAUGUAUGACAGAAUGUAAGCAUCCUGAG